GAAGGCUGGAGAGCCCAGAAAGAGUGAAGACUUGCUGGAGGCUGGGAGGCCUGCCAGCCUCCUGGCCCCCUGGCACCUCUGCCUGCUGUGUACCUGCUGCGAGCAAGCAGAAAAAAGAAUAGGUGUUUCAGACAACAGAAUGGGAGAAUUUUAAAAGGUUCCUGUGAACUUUCUCUCCAAAAAUGUCAGUUUUAGAGCUUCCCCAAAUGAUAAGUUCUUAUGUUUCUGAUGACCUGAUGCUGCCCUGAAAGUGCCCAUCACUCAACUGUCAUCACUCUUUGCGGAUAUUAUCUCUGUGAAAUGUUGUUUCUCUCACUCAUGUGAUAUUAAGACCUUCUCUGACUGCUCCCGUGGGGUAAAAUAUUCUUUCUCCAUCAGUAUUCCUGGCAUGUGGCAGCACUGGCUCAAAGACUGGUAAUCCAACUUUGAUCUGAAUUAUUUGUUAAUCACAGUUUUCACCUCCUAAG